UAUAUAUAAAUAUAUUAAUAUUUUAAAAAUGGAUAAAAACUUUUUAUGUAAUUUUUUUUUUUAGAAA
rnacentral:sRNA from 1 species